AUUGAACGCUGGCGGCAUGCCUUACACAUGCAAGUCGAACGGCAGCACGGGAGCAAUCCUGGUGGCGAGUGGCGAACGGGUGAGUAAUAUAUCGGAACGUGCCCAGUCGUGGGGGAUAACGUAGCGAAAGCUACGCUAAUACCGCAUACGAUCUAUGGAUGAAAGCGGGGGAUCGCAAGACCUCGCGCGAUUGGAGCGGCCGAUAUCAGAUUAGCUAGUUGGUGGGGUAAAGGCUCACCAAGCCAACGAUCUGUAGCUGGUCUGAGAGGACGACCAGCCACACUGGAACUGAGACACGGUCCAGACUCCUACGGGAGGCAGCAGUGGGGAAUUUUGGACAAUGGGCGCAAGCCUGAUCCAGCCAUUCCGCGUGCAGGAUGAAGGCCUCGGUUGUAACUAGCUUUGUACGGUAACGAAACGGUACUGCCCUAACUACGGCGGGCGUAAUGACGGUACCGUAAGAAUAAGACACCGGCUAACUACGUAGCC
rnacentral:rRNA from 1 species